rnacentral:rRNA from 1 species
UUUAAAGCCAUUAUCAAAUAAAGGCGGGAGGAAAAGAAACCCAACAGGGGAAUGGCCUCAGUAAACGGCGAGUGAAGCGGCAACAGCUCCAAAUUUUUAAAGCUGGGCGUCUUCGGGCGUCCGCAUUGUAAUUUGGAGAGGCAUCUUCGGUUUGGGCGCCAGCCUAUGUUCCUUGGAACAGGACGUCACAGAGGGUGAGAAUCCCGUGCUUGCUGGCUGUCCCAUUCCCAUGUGAAGUGUCUUCGACGAGUCGAGUUGUUUGGGAAUGCAGCUCAAAAUGGGUGGUAAAUUUCAUCUAAAGCUAAAUAUUGGUGGGAGACCGAUAGCGCACAAGUAGAGUGAUCGAAAGAUGAAAAGCACUUUGAAAAUAGAGUUAAAAAGUACGUGAAAUUGUUGAAAGGGAAGCGCUUGAGACCAGACUCGGCUGGUGAUGAUCAGCUGUCCUUCUGGGCAGUGCACUUGUCGCCGGUCGGGCCAGCAUCGGUUGAGACGGCGGGAUAAAGAUCUCGGGAAUGUGGCUCCUUUCGGGGAGUGUUAUAGCCCGGGAUGCAAUGCCGCCAGCCUCGACCGAGGACCGCGCUUCGGCUAGGAUGCUGGCGUAAUGGUCUUCAGCGACCCGUCUUGAAACACGGACCAAGGAGUCUAACAUCUAUGCGAGUGUUUGGGUGUCAAACCCUUGCGCGAAAUGAAAGUGAACGGAGGUGGGAACCCGCAAGGGUGCACCAUCGACCGGUCCUGAUGUCUUCGGAUGGAUCUGAGUAGGAGCAUAGCUGUUGGGACCCGAAAGAUGGUGAACUAUGCCUGAAUAGGGUGAAGCCAGAGGAAACUCUGGUGGAGGCUCGCAGCGGUUCUGACGUGCAAAUCGAUCGUCAAAUUUGGGUAUAGGGGCGAAAGACUAAUCGAACCAUCUAGUAGCUGGUUCCUGCCGAAGUUGCCCCUCACGA